rnacentral:rRNA from 1 species
AGCGAACGCUGGCGGCAGGCUUAACACAUGCAAGUCGAGCGGGCAUAGCAAUAUGUCAGCGGCAGACGGGUGAGUAACGCGUGGGAACGUACCUUUUGGUUCGGAACAACUGAGGGAAACUUCAGCUAAUACCGGAUAAGCCCUUACGGGGAAAGAUUUAUCGCCGAAAGAUCGGCCCGCGUCUGAUUAGCUAGUUGGUGAGGUAAUGGCUCACCAAGGCGACGAUCAGUAGCUGGUCUGAGAGGAUGAUCAGCCACAUUGGGACUGAGACACGGCCCAAACUCCUACGGGAGGCAGCAGUGGGGAAUAUUGGACAAUGGGCGCAAGCCUGAUCCAGCCAUGCCGCGUGAGUGAUGAAGGCCCUAGGGUUGUAAAGCUCUUUUGUGCGGGAAGAUAAUGGCGGUACCGCAAGAAUAAGCCCCGGCUAACUUCGUG